GUAGGACAUUAGGGAGAUAGGAAGAGUAGGGGCUGGUACAAGUGCACAGAGACAAAAAUAGAAUAUCAAGUUCAGUGAAUAGCUAGCUAUUGAGUUUGUCUAAGACACAGAGGGCACGAUGGUAAUAAUGUGCAGCAAACCUGGAAAGUCCCUCAGAGACAUCCCAAGAAUACUGUAUCUCAUCUAAUCUUGUUACCAUGAACCGAAUUAUCAUCCUCCUCCUCUGCAGUGUCCUGCCAGCUUUGACUAAGGCUCAAGCAUCCACAUUACUUGCAUCUACCAGCUGUCGCUGCCCACAAGUUAAUAAGAGUAUCCCCACCCUAAAAUCUUUUGAGAAACUUGAUGUGAUUCUUCCCAGUGCUACAUGUCCACGCCCUGAAAUUGUAGGCACAAUGAAGGAUACUAAGGAACAAGUGUGUCUGAAUCCAGAUACCCCAACUAUGAAGGUUGUAUUGAAAGCAAUUAGAAGGACAAGGUCUUGAACAGCUCCUGUCCACAAGUGAAGACACAUUCUCUCCAUAUGAAGGGCAAAGUUUAACCAGAAUGAAGCCUUCCCAUGUAUACCGAGAAAAGUCAAGCCCCAAAUGUUUCUAGUGCCUAAUUCUUCUUAUAAAAAAAAGCAAUCAUCAAUCACAAAUAAUUGACUAGCUACCUAAAAAAAAAUAAUCUGUUUAGCAAGAGAAACUCUAGUACUAUAAUUCCUGAUGUUGUGGUUUUAAGUGAGUGAUAUUCAAGUCAUUCUCAAUAGAGGUCUACUUAAUUUGACAUUUUUUCAGAGAUUUGUUGUGCCUUCUGAAUGGUUCUAUCUAUAGUAAGAACCAUUUAUCUUGUAAUCAUCAAGUAAUAUCAUCUGCCAGUGGCAAUAAGAGAUUGCCACUGGCAGAUGAUAUUACUAGAAAAAAUGGGCCUAAGAGUAAAAAGUUUCAUCAGGUAUUUACUAUUAAAACCCAUUUCAAGAAAUUAUCUUAUUAUAUACACUUGACCAUGCUACUGUAUAAGAACAAAAAUAUUUAAUGAUUGACAAAACUAGGAUUCAAAAUAUCUGUGACCUAAUAGCCAGAGGUUCUUAACCUGGAGUACAUGCACCCAAGUGGGUACAAGUUAUUGGUCAUGGAAGUCUGGGUAAAUUCUUGAGAAAAGGAUGGGAAAGGAAUGUUGUGACACAUCUGAAAAAAAUUGAAACAAACAGUUGAAGUACUACUAAUUUCUACUGACCAAGCCCAAAAUAAAUGAAAUCUGGUUUUUCAUAUUGAAAUAGGGAAAAAAAAGUCAAAGUUAACCAGUGAAUAACAAACUGACCAGUUUAUGAAAUAACCAGAAAUCCCAAAUUUAUCCAAUCAAUGAAGUUACAAAACUUUUGUUAUGUCUUAGAGAAAUAUAUCUCCAUUCUUACAACAUGCUCACAAGGCUUCAAUUGAAUUCUCUGUGAAUUAGAAUUCUCAGUCUUAUUCUCAAUCAAAUCCAAAGUAAGAAAAAUUAACUCUUUCAAAAAUUAUACUGAGAAUGAAACCAUUGGUCAACAACAAAAAAAAAAAUUAUUACAUUUAAUUUCGUUAUGUACUGAUAAACUUUAUGAUAAUCAAAAAAGUGUUAUAUAUCAAAUAUUUUUUUCUUUAUGGAAAAUCCAUUAAUGUUAUUUCUUAUACAAAAUGUGUAGUAAACCCUAGAAUUUAUUUCCUUUUAUAUUGAAUAAGGGAUAUGGGAAGAUUUACUUAAAACUAAGGAUUAAAUAGUUUGAAACUCUUGCACUUCAUCAACCCUCUUUUCUAAGUGAUUCCUAUGUCAUCUAGAGACAUGAAGGCCUUGAGGAGAAAUUAGUCCUCUUGUCCCUACCUGCACUGUCCCCACCCCCAACCCACCCCAAACUUUUUAUAUUUUUAACCACACAAACCUGAAUGUUAAGAUUUAAAUCAGAAAAAAAAAUUUUAAAUAUAUACAUUUCAAUUUUUCCCAGUUUCACCUUUUGUUAAAUGUUUCUAAAAGUAAAAGUUUUUCCUUUCAGUGUCAGAAAUUUCACAUAUCUAACUUAUGCUGGUUCUUUAUCCCGUACCUUAAAAGUAUGCCGAUACCACAUUCUUAUAGGUCCGCAUAAAUCCCUUUCACCUAAUCUGCCUUAUCUUUAAGCAUAUCAAUGUGACUCUCAGUCUCUGAUCUUAUCAAAGUUUUUGAUAAACCAGUGAAAUACAUAUCUGCACUCUGAUCUCACCUCUUCCUCUUAACAUCACUUUAAAACUUUGUUCAACCCUUCUACAUGAAACCUUUUUCAGAUCUCUCCAAACUAUUCUAAUAAUAGUAAAGAUGACGAUGCCUGCAUAACUUUAUAUAUAUGGUAUCUACUAUGCACUGUGCUAAUCGCUUUACCAUUAUUUUCAUUUGAUCCUCACAACCAUUCUGGGAAAUGGAUAUUAUUAUAUUUUCAUAUAUAGAUGAAGAAACUGAACUAAGUAGAGGUUAAGUGAAUUGCCCAGAUCACACAGCUAGUAUCUAAGGCUGGGUUUGAACUGAAGUCUACCUGACACUAUCUGUCUAUCUGUCACUAUCCACUGUGCUACCUAGAUGCCUUUCUCCUCCCAAAAUUUCCCUUGUAAAUGUUUUCUGAUUUUGUUUUUGAAGGAAUUUUCCACACUGUGAGUAGUACUGCUCUUCCUUGCUACAUUUCAAAUGAAUUAAAAAAAAUUUUUUUUCAAAUGAUCUACCUUCUUUUUUCCACUUUCUCCUGCCCUUCCUCUCUCACAAAC
rnacentral:lncRNA from 1 species